CGCAUCUGUGCAUGCAGCAUAUCAAUAAGCGGAGGAAAAGAAACUAACAAGGAUUCCCCUAGUAAACGGCGAGUGAAGCGGGAAGAGCUCAAAUUUGAAAUCUUAAAGGGUUUCCCUUUACGAAUUGUAGUUUAAAGAAGUGUUUUCUGUUAGAUGAGUAGCAAAAGUUCCUUGGAAUGGGACAUCAUAGAGGGUGAGAAUCCCGUAUUUGGUUAUUCAUUCUAGCUUUGUGAUACACUUUCAAAGAGUCGGAUUGUUUGGGAAUGCAGUCCAAAAUGGGUGGUAAAUUUCAUCUAAAGCUAAAUAUUGGCGAGAGACCGAUAGCGAACAAGUACCGUGAGGGAAAGAUGAAAAGAACUUUGAAAAGAGAGUUAAACAGUACGUGAAAUUGUCAAAAGGGAAGCGUUUGACACCAGUGUUGUUUUUCUGAAAAUCAAUUAAAGAACUGUUUAUGCUAAGUUGUUUAGACUUUAUCAGCUAACUGUUUAGUUUUGAGCUUUUCUUUAAUGCACUUUUCAGUUAACAAGUCAACAUCAAUUUCUUUUGCUGUAAAAAAAGCUUGAGGAAGGUGGCUUGAGAUUCGUCUUAAGUGUUUAUAGCCUCUUGCCUAUGCAGUCGGAGAGAUUGAGGUCUGCAGCGUAGAUCCUUCGGGGCUAAAUGCAUUUGUGCUAAGUUAUAGCAUUUUAUAGACAACUUGUUGACUAUGAUUUGUCUUGUAGCUUACUCGCUUAUGUUAUUUUACCUACGCUUAGGAUGUUGAGCGCAUGUCUCUCUCU
rnacentral:rRNA from 1 species